rnacentral:rRNA from 1 species
AACGAACGCUGGCGGCGUGCCUAACACAUGCAAGUCGAGCGCGAAAAGAGCAAUCUGAGUAGAGCGGCGCACGGGUGCGUAACACGUGGGUAAUCUGCCUCAAGGUCUGGGAUAACCUUCCGAAAGGUUGGCUAAUACCAGUUAAGCUCACGGUGACUUCGGUCGCUGAGAGAAAAGGGGCCCGAAAGGGUCUCGCCAUGAGAUGAGCCCGCGGCCCAUCAGCUAG